CUAACUGGAGGACCGAACCGACUAAUGUUGAAAAAUUAGCGGAUGACUUGUGGCUGGGGGUGAAAGGCCAAUCAAACCGGGAGAUAGCUGGUUCUCCCCGAAAGCUAUUUAGGUAGCGCCUCGUGAAUUCAUCUUCGGGGGUAGAGCACUGUUUCGGCAAGGGGGUCAUCCCGACUUACCAACCCGAUGCAAACUGCGAAUACCGGAGAAUGUUAUCACGGGAGACACACGGCGGGUGCUAACGUCCGUCGUGAAGAGGGAA
rnacentral:rRNA from 1 species